AGCGAACGCUGGCGGCAGGCUUAACACAUGCAAGUCGAGCGGGCACUUUCGGGUGUCAGCGGCGGACGGGUGAGUAACGCGUGGGAACGUGCCCUCUGGUUCGGAAUAACUCAGGGAAACUUGAGCUAAUACCGGAUACGCCCUUUUGGGGAAAGGCUUGCUGCCGGAGGAUCGGCCCGCGUCUGAUUAGCUAGUUGGUGAGGUAACGGCUCACCAAGGCGACGAUCAGUAGCUGGUCUGAGAGGAUGAUCAGCCACACUGGGACUGAGACACGGUCCAGAAUCCUACGGGAGGGAGGAGUGGGGAAUAUUGGAAAAUGGGCGCAAGGCUGAUCCAGCCAUGCCGCGUGAGUGAUGAAGGCCUUAGGGUUGUAAAGCUCUUUUAUCCGGGACGAUAAUGACGGUACCGGAGGAAUAAGCCCCGGCUAACUUCGUG
rnacentral:rRNA from 1 species